CUCUCUCCCCUUUAUCUUAUCCAUCUCAUUCUCACUCCUUGGUUUGCAGAGCAGGGGUAAGUAACAUAGCAUAACAGACAUGGCUGUUUCUCUGUCGGUGAACCGUCCUCUCCUUCGUCUUCACCACAAGCAUCCACCUUUACCUGUGGGCAUCGCUCCCCAACUCCAUUUCCACUGUCAGCCCAAGCUCGCCGGAAUUCGAUGCUCCUCCUCGCCCUCCCAUUUUACCGACAAAACCCUCAUUUCCAUCAAACCUAACACUUCCCACAUCAAUGACAACCCCCUCGCUUGUCGCUUCCACGCUUCCCAGUUUGGAGGACAGGAGAGCAGCAAAUCCGUGGAAGCGUACGCUGUUGGGCGAAACAUUCGCAUGUCCGCUAAUAAAGCUCGAAGAGUGAUCGAUCAGAUUCGUGGACGAAAAUACGAUGAAACACUUAUGAUAUUAGAACUCAUGCCUUAUCGAGCCUGUGAAGCCAUUCUGAAGAUAGUGUUUUCUGCUGGAGCAAAUGCUACCAAUAACCUGGGUUUAAGCAAGGGAAGUUUAGUUAUCAGUAAAGCAGAGGUUAAUGAAGGAAGAACAAUGAAAAGGGUAAAACCUGUGGCUCGAGGGCGUGCUCAUCCAAUUAAAAAGCGCACUUGUCAUAUAACCGUCACUGUAAAAGGCUCACCAAGUGAGUCCAUCGUGGAAGCGAGCCCUGCAUAAUCCUUUUCGGACUAAAUGUAUGUACGCCUUAUGAUGAGUUAGUUCCCUUUACCCAUUGUAUUUGAUCAAAAUUUCUGUAUUUCGACAUUAUGUACUUCAUUUAUACCGUGUGACUUAAACCUUGUUCUGAGCACCGUCUCGAGACCUUCCCUUGGCCACUCUUGAUAUUACUCUGCUUUUGUCCAGCCGUGUAUGACCUCCAUUGCUAAAUGGGUAUGUUACCUAACCAUGAAAAUGAAGUUUUGGUUUGUGCGA